rnacentral:rRNA from 1 species
UACGUAGGUGGCAAGCGUUGUCCGGAUUUACUGGGUGUAAAGGGCGUGCAGCCGGGAGUGCAAGUCAGAUGUGAAAUGCAGGGGCUCAACCCCUGAACUGCAUUUGAAACUGUGCUUUUUGAGUACCGGAGGGGCAAUCGGAAUUCCUAGUGUAGGGGUGAAAUGCGUAGAUAUUAGGAGGAACACCAGUGGCGAAGGCGGAUUGCUGGACGGCAACUGACGGUGAGGCGCGAAAGUGUGGGGAGCAAAC